ACAUGACAAACGUUCACAAGAAAGAGACUCUCAGUCUGGCCCUGAAAACCCAUACAACCAUCCGAUAACACCCUUCCGAAUCCAAAUUCAAGUAGUUGCAGACUGAGAUUGCAGGAUAUGGUCUGGUAAAUUGGCAGAGCCUGAGAGCAGUUACCAGCACCUGCCCAGAUGGCUUCCUGGCAUCGCGAACAUGCAACAGCCCAUGCAGCAGGAAGAACCACUGCCUGCAUGGUGCAGGGGGAAACUGAGGCACGAGGAAGCUGAAAAUGCCAAGGCUGCAAUAUGUCCUGCAGCACAGACAGCGCAGAGGGAAGAAAUCUCAGCCUGCUCUUCUGCUGUGCAUUAAAACAAAGGCAAAGCUCACGAGGGUUAAAGGCUGCGAAACUCAACAUUAAACAGUCCAGCAAGCCCAGCAGAGGUUAAGACAAGGCUGUGACACCAGAGACACAAUGGGACUCUCCUUCUGUGCUACAUAUGUACACGGGUAUUGAGGACAUGCAUCUCUCCUCAUCGAAAAUCAUGAAUUUUUAUGAAGUAAGCCUUGCUUUCCCAUAAUUCAGUAGGGUGCACUUUGCAGACCCUAAAGUGCUGUCACUACAGAACGUUUCAUUGCUUGCACCUGCUAAAACAUUUGAGGUAUUUGAGAGGCAGUGAAACACAUUUGCUUUUCAUUUUAUCUGACUUUGAAAAUCUUUGAAGUGUUUAAUAGUAGUCCAGAAAAGAUUUCUGCCUCUUAAUCAUUUACUUGUAGGGCACAUUCUCCACUGGUAGCCUGUCAGGCAGAAAACGAGUUUAGCCCAGUUUUAUUAAGUGCCACAUGCCGAGUCAGUGUUCAUUAAAGGUGUUUUAAGGUUUGAAUUAUGUAAUUUAUGAGAAAAAGAAAUACAAAAUUCCAUUGUUUUAUUAAUAUGCAGCACAGGAUAUACUGCUAAUAACAUACUUUUUAAACAGAAGUUUUAUUAAAAAAAAAUGCUUUUACGGGGGGCUACAGAUAGGCUUUUAAAAAUCUCUUUUUCCCUGUUCAAUAAAAUUCAAACGUUUUAAUUCAAUCAGCAUAGAUUUGAAAAAGGAACUAUUCUUAACCUCUCCUUUCGGUCACUUUUCUUUACACACACUGUAGAUAAAAGGGGAAAAUAGGAAUUCUUUUUUUUCCUUUUUAAUAGAGGUGACUAUAUAUGGUACUAAAAGCAAGCCCAUGCUGAAACCUGCAGUCAGAUGUAAAUUCAUAAACAAAACAAAAAAUAAAUGAAAAAGCUAUAGAAAAAGAAUAAAGAAAGAAAAACUCUCCCUUAUAACCCCAGGAAACACUGUUUUCCAGAGUUAUUUUAAAUUGCUCCCCACAGGUUCACAGCUAACGGGAUACUUUUAAUUAGACUAAGGCUUAGCUAAAUCUUUUGGUAGCCCACUAAACCAUUUUUAUAGUCUACACAGUUUAAAUAUUGUAAAUAGAUUUUCUUAAGCAUACGGGAAAGGUCCAGCCCAUGAAAUUCAAGAAGGAGUACAUUUUUCUUCCCAGCCUCUCUGGCUCAGGUUACCCCAGUCCAGACCCACAGACAUGGGGCAGGGCUGAUCCAGCAUGGGUUCUGUCCCUGAAAUGGGACUGCAUCCAUCCAAGCUCUCCAUACCCCUCUCGGCAGCAAAACUCCCACCCGCCUGCAUUCAGGGGUGUUGCUUGAAAGCAAUUGUGUGAGGCCUGAGGAACCAAGGCCAGUUGAGUUUAAUAUGAAUUUUUAUUGCUAUGGGAAAGUCUUCAUUAUCCAAACUUAUAUCAAACUGGAAUUAAUUAACCCCUUCAAGACAGACUGCAGCUGCUAUUCCUGCAGUGUCUGAGAGUGAGGGUUUGUUUUGCUCUGUUUCACUUAUUUCAUUAGUUUGCUAUAUGAUGAUGGCAAGUCCUGGGAACAGAGAAAAGCUUAGAUUUGGGCUGGACACACCAUGUCCACAAUGCUUUGCUUCUGGAUAGCUUGGGUUGUACAGAAAAGAAAGUGGUGGUGUCCUUAGUGCUGAUGGAAAAGGAACACAAAGAUUGCAGAUGGAAUACAAGUAAAUAACUUUGGAGUUCCACAUGCCUAAUCCUGCUCACAUUUUGUUGUGAUGAUCACACAGAAUCUGACCUUUGACAUUUGUCUGAGUGCACCAUACAGAAAAUCAUAUAGCUGGAUUAUUAAUUGACAAGAGGACCUGGCACGUGGCUCAUGGAGAGUAAUGAUGUUCUAUGCAGAGGACAUUGAGAGUUAUGUAUUGCCAACAGGCAGCAAUAUAUGAAAUUUCUGACACAAAAUAAUCAGUCAUAGCAAACUGUAUGCAGAAUACAGAUGUCUCAGAAUAACGGUAGUAAAACAUCUUGAACAGGAAUAGCAAUUAUACUUGAACACAACCAUUAAUUUUUAAAUUUAAGUUAAGAAGGGGGAACAACCCAUAAUUAUAUUAAAACCUUGCUCAUUUGAUCCAGAAUAAUAUUUUUAAUGAAUUCUAUAUGGAGCCAAGAACUGUUAAAAAAAAACCUUGCCCUGCAGAAAAUGUACUUUUAAAAAACCUAUUUACUCUGAAUGAAAAGUUAUUUUUACAGUGAGUCCUCACUUUAUGGCAGACACAUGCUUGUAAAAAUUGCCAUUGUUUGUGUGGAAAGUGGGAGAAGAAAAAAGCAAGGGGAAAAAUUUGCACAUACUUUACCUUACAGCGUGCCAGCCAUGUUUAAGAUGGCUUCCACAGCUCUGACCUUGCUCACGAGUCACCAGCUGGAGCAGCACUGUUGUUUGAACCAAGCAUGUGCCUAACCAGGACCUUAAGCUGCAGCUCUUGGGAAGCCUGGGAAUCACAACAGGGCAUCAGCCUGUACUCCAGCUCUUAAUUAUGUCUUUGAGAAGACCUCUGAUCUCUGGAGCAAAUUUGUCUAGGUAGGAGGGCAACGUGAUGAGAUUACUGCCUGCCACCUGCUGAGGCCAUGGAGGUGGAAGGUGGUGGCACAAAGCGUGCUGCUUCAUCUUCUGAGUCUUGCAGAACUUGCCAUGUGCUGUGGUCAUGCUCAUGACUGCUGGGAAAAUAUCCCUUCCUUGUGCAUAUGCAUAAGGAGUGGAAGAUUUAUUGGCUGGGUACUGCGUCCCCCAGAAGAUGGAAGCAUGCCUCUCUGAAGUGGAAGAGAGAGAUUGCUUUUAAGUCAAGUGGAAGAACUAGCUGCUUCAGUUUUAUUGCAGAAUCAUGCUGGUAAUACAUCCAGAUUACUGAAGCUCAGAGUAAGGAAGUCAAUUUAUAAUGACUUUGCCAUUGUCCUGUUGCUAAUGUGCCACAUUUGAUUCUCCUCAGCUGGCUUUGAAAGGUCUCUUUGAGGAAAGAGGAGAUAGCACCCUUGCUUAUGAAAAAGGCAAAUUAUACCCGGGGGCAACAUCGCUGCACAACAGGAAAGGGCCAGCCUCCUCCCAGGAGACAUGGCCCCAAAUUAAAUGCAAGUAAUUUCCUGACUAACCUGUGAUUUCUAUCUGGUUGUGGCUUCUGGCAUACAACUAAGUCUCCGGUUCUGCUGUUCUGUUCAGCAGGUCUCACAUGUGCUUUCACUUUCAUUUCCAAACUUUAAUACAGAACAGCCCAUCCACAACCUGCUGCUGAGGCAGUGGAGGCCAGGGAGGCUGGCUCUGCAUUGGGCAGGAGGAAUGACUGGCUGCUAAGGGAGGGGACCCACCAGAGGGGUCCCUCAGCCACAGUGUCAAUGUGGUGGUAGAGGAGAUACAGAGAAACAUGCUACUGCAACUUGCUCCUCUCUGUCCCGUAAGUCGUCCAAGUAGGUUUUGGAACUGGCUGCAGUCUUCACUUACCAUGAAUCUGAAACCCAUGGAACAAUCAUAUGUGUUAGGCUGGAAUAACCCAAUCAGUAGCUUUUCUUUUUACAGUGGGCAGGUCUCUGUCUAGAAAAUCACUGAAAUUAGGUCUAAAUGAUUUUGUUAUGACCCCAACAAAGGAUUCAGGGACAGAUGGGAAGGGUCACAUGUGUCUGGCCAGGCACCAGCUCAGGGAGAGAAACCCUGGGAAGGGGGCAAGUGGAACAAGCAGAACUCCACGGGAUGUAGAAUGGGAGAGGAAAGCCUUACAGAACAACACAAAUUACAUUCACAUUUUCUGUGGUUUCUUCAAGGAGAAAGCCGUUCCUUGAAGUAAGGAACAGGAUACUCAACAGUCCCCAAGCACCAGUGGGCAAGUGAUGACAGAUUUGCUUUGCUAAAAGUACUUUAUUAUGAUUGAUCUCAAAUACCACUCUUCCUCUCGAACUUCUACAACAUUUCAAGGAUAUUUUCUAUGGACUAUGUAGAACUUCUGUAUUGGCAAGUAGCUGUUGAGUAGAUCACCUGCAUAUGGGCCACAGACAACUGAAAUAAUGCGCAUAGGAUUAGGGUGAGUCAAAUGGCUGACCCUCUUUAAAGUAAUCAGUGAGUGGUUGAAAAGUUCACACUAAUAAAUGCAGGGACAUGCCAGUCUUAUCUCUAUAGACAAUCAAAAUUUUAAACUAAUGUUCUUGUAUGUAGUGAAACAAAACAAAAGCUCCCUUACUGCUCCUUGAAAUCAGUAGAGGUGGUAAGUUAUUGUGUGACUUGUUUUUUCUGAAUGAACUAAGACUUUAAGGGACUACACACUCAAAAAGCACCAGAGAGGUUCUAAUGCUUUACACAGAUCCAUACAGAGAAAGGGAGUAUCAGUCUUCUUUCAUUUAAGUCCCAGGGUAAAAUCAGUUUUUAUGCUGAUAGUACAGUUUUGUUUGGGAUAAUUAUUUUGAACUUGCUCAUUUUCCCAACCUAAACAGCUAAUCUGUAGUUUGUAUUCAGCCAUAGUAUCAAAAAUCUUCUUUCCACUUGUGUGAGUAAUUUCAUAAUGGUCGCUACAUAAAGAAGAGGCUGUGACAUAAAGAAACUGUACCAUUUUUAUUCUGUUGAUAUAAUCAAAGUAAUAAAACCUGUGCAUGUAAAUGAUAAGAGAUGUUAGUGCCAUGUUGCUGGGAAACUGGCUCAGAAACAACAGUGAAUGAAAUGCAUCUGGGAAUAAGAAGCUAAUUCAUAUAGUAAAUAAUAGGUUGCACAAAUUUAAUCAGUUGGAAAACCAUUACAUGUGUAAGUGGAUACCCUGUGGGGGGAAAAACUUAGAUUUGAUGCACUGGACUGAAUGAUCAGUCCACUCGGGAUUUUGUUGUGUAAACACCUAUUUCUAUCACUUCAAGGGAGUUUUUGGGUUGAGCAGUUUAUUUUAAUUUAAGAAAUAACUGACGUGUAUGAAAAGGCAUAGCUGUAGAUUUUGGUUUUGUUGUACUGCCCUUCAAAGAUCAGAAGGUUUCCUUCUAAACUUCUCUACCUAAAACCUAAAUGAAACUGUAGUGCAUGUAGAAACAGGUGAUCUUACCAAUUUAGUCCCCAUUUCUGGUUUAAACCGUGUGAAAAAUGCUCAGUUUUGGCAAGGUGCCUUUGUAAAAUUAAAAAUAGAUACCAGCCUGUUAGAAAAGCUUAGAAACAUGUAAGCUCUCCAAGGCAGUGCUUGUUGCUUGUGAAAAACAAACAAACAAACAAUAAAUCAUGUUUUCCUAGGAAAACUUUGCAAAGGGCCACAAAGGGCAUUUUCCUAUUAAUUUCUGUGGGGAAUGUGCCCAGGUUUUUCACUGAUUGAUAACAGUUUUGCUACAAAACUUCUUAUGGUAUGUUACAAGACAUGUAUCUUGAUAGAAAAUCGAGAAGCCCUAUAGAUAAAAUGUUUUUUUUCAUGGCUUUUUCUGGUUCUUGUAUUAAGCCACAGCUUGGCUGAACUUUUUUUUUGCUGUUGUGAAACAUCCCUGUUUACUAAAGCGAUAUUAUAAGUUUCAUUUUUUCCUGAAUAUUGUUCCCGAGGAAAUACCAAAGCAUUGUUUUUACAAGAUACCCUGAACUGUCAGUUUCCUCGAAACACAAUGUAUUUAAUACAAAGCCAUUAAGCCUUGUAAAACUGUCAAAAAUGUAAAUGACACUUGUAAUAAAACCUUGUCGUGUGACCGGCUCUAGCUAAUCAGGGUUGAUGAUAUCACUGCAGCUGAUCACGGCUGGUGCUAUGUACAUUUCGACAGCUUUAUGACCUGCAUGGAUUUGUGUUAUUAAAAUUGUACAGUUUUGUAAGGAAUUUGGGAUUUAAUAAAGCAGCAGAGAAACUACAAAAGGGACGGCGUAUUCCACUAAAAGCGAGCCAGGCUUUAAAAAAAUAAUGUCAACAUAUAUAGUACAUGAGUGUGUGUGUGUGCAUGUGUCUGUGGAUGUGAAUAGGAAAACCAGGAGAGGUUCUCCUCUCGUAGCUCUCUCAGGGUAAGGGCUGCUCAUAUAAACCACUUUUAUGUAUUUAUAGCCCAGCAAAUACCUUGCAUCUGUGAGGCCAUAAAACAAAUUACAAUGUAUCCAAUUGCUUCAAGGUGGCGAAUUGUGCUUAAACUUAAUGACUUGUACAGAUUAUAGGAGAAAGAGCAUUACCUGUUUAAUGUCCUUUUUAAUAAGUAAUUCCUGAACAAGUAUAGUAAAUGGGAGGUUGGGUCUUUGUUUCGGUUUGUUUCUUUUUCUUCUUUUCCCCCUGAGAUCCCACUAGAGUAGGCCUUUGUCCCUGCAAUAGCUGGGUAACGCACUGUUAUAUUUAUUUUGCAAUACUUUGAACUGCUCCCCAGAGUACAAACAUGUCAGAUGAGGAGAGACGAGGACACAUAUUCUCCCAGUAAUCUAUAAAUUCAACCUAAUGGGGCAGAUAUCAGAAAAAUGUGUUGGACUGAAGGUGCAUAAAUCACACCUGGUUUCCUGGCAUAAGCUGGCACUGUGUGCCUUAUAUUUCAGCCAAAUUAUUCCAUUUGUUUCUGAAGAUAUUUUAAUCCCUCGUGACCUCAAACUUCCCGUGAACCAGGCCCUGAACAAACGGCCGCCCACUGUCUUUGCAGUAAAUCUGUUGUCUCCCUUCUAGGCCCGCAACCCGGGAUCAUAGAUCACCCCUGCACCGCAUCUUGCUUCAAUUUACUCAAUUAACUCGAGUAAAGCACUUGUAAGUUUGCAGAUGUUGCUUUAUUAUCAAGGCCUAAAACGUACAAGAGAGUUCAGGAGCCCGAGGUUACGGGGAGGUUGUGCUGAGGGGGUGGGCAGCAAUGGUGCAGGCCUCCCUCUGUCUCUUUGGGAUGGUGGGCUCAGGACGUGGCUCCCCAGCACAGUUAUUUGAACCAUAAGAUUGCCUCGUGGAUCGGGGACCAUCUGAUGUUAUCUCACAGAAAGAUAGGAUAUGAGAAAUAGGUAUUUCACCUCAAGAUGAGAUAACACUGUGAUUAACAGAUGUUUAAUUGGGCCAUUCGUCAAGUGAAGAACCUGCCUAAAAGUCAGCGAGGCUGAGUAAAUUAUUUCCAACCCUGCAGGUGUUGGACUGGCAGCUCUAUUACUCUUCCAGAAAUGGGCUUUAGAAGAUUUUUAUAUGAAAAGAUAAUUUAUUUCUAUGAGGUAUUGUAUUGUGCUUUUUAUUUAUGUAAUAAGCUUUAAGUUUUGUGUCUGGGCCUCCUUCAUCUUCACACUGGAAUGAACUGGGGAGGGUCAGAAGGAGGAAGAGUCCCUCUGUGAAAUUACCAUCUAGCAAAAGUCAUGUGUCAUGGUAUUUGAGAACUUCCCAGCAGCCUAUAGCUGUGGAUAUGUAUAUAUAUAUAUGUGUGUGUGUUAUAUGUGUUAUAAAAUAUAUAUAUAUAAAUACAUAUAUAAAAAUAGGUGGGGAAAUUUUUCAAAACAUAACUGGCUUAAUAAACUCAAAAAUCACUGGUGUUGUAGGACUGGUGUUGUUGUUUAUCCUGAUCAUUAGCAGAGAUGAGUUGCUAGAGGUCCAUUUAUUCUAUGAAAAGUGUAUCUGUAUUAACCAGCAUUUUGACCCAGGAUUUCAGUCUCAGUGUAUCACAAAAAUCAGAUAUCAAGUGGGUUCCAUGUUGUUGCAGAUCUCGCAGCAAGUUUCAUUCAGGUCUGAUUUUAAUUUCCAACAAUAACCAUCUAGCCUGCAUUAAUUAUUCUCUUCGCUGCCAAACUUAUUUAAGAUGCUCUAGGGAUGGUUACAAAAUAUAUACCUUUAAUUCCUGUGGACUGUUUUCCUGCAGCAGUAGAUUUUUCCUGUUGGCCCACAGUAGUUAUGACAGAAGUGAAAGCUUUGGAGCUAUUGUGAUGUUCAUUUCUGCAGUGCUCAAUGAGAGUGAAGAAAAAUCCAGAGCAGCCUUUCCAUCUUCACUGAUGUCCAUGAACAGGUGACAAGCUCAAAUAGCCUUUCUCAUGUCCUUCUACAAGACAUAGUUAAAACUACUGGAGGUUCUCUUGCAUAUACACAAGGAUGUCUUAUGCCUAUAUUAGAUCUUAACAGAGGCACUUGAUGUGUAGCAAAUUGUUCCUAUGAAUCGUAGAAUCAAUGAAACAACAACAGGAGUAGCAACACCAGCACCUAUCAGGCCUUGUCUGUCUGUCGUCUAGCACUAUGAUCACAAGACAGUUGACAGCAUAUUUCAUGUUAAUGCUUUUUAGUCAUCUUUGUGAUACUUAUAAGUAUCUGAGAUAAGACUAGAUCUCUGGAAUAGCAAGAACAGAAAAGAAAAAAAAAAAAGGGGCUAUAUUCCUGAAUAUCUUUUCUCCUUUAUGGCAUUCAGCCUAUGAACAAGAUGCUGAUAGUUUAACAUAUAUAUAAUUUUUUUAGCUUUUGCAGAAAUCUUUAUCAGAUCUUACUGGGCUUAAAGGGCUUUGGCAUAUGAAGUCUUCUGUAAUGGUGACAUUAAUUGAACAGACUGGAAUGAGUUAAAUGAGGUCCAAUUCUAUCAGUUUCUCCUGCAUCAUCUAAACUGAAGCUUGGGUUUGAUAGCAAGCCAAAUUUUAGUCCUCUGUUUUCAGUAUCUGUAAUGCUUUAAACUGAGAAGCCAAACUAAAUCUCAGGGGGAGUCACAUGGCUCACAAAUGUGGAUGCAAAUGGAUACACAUAUACUUUUAGUACAAUAUUUUGUGUGUGAAAGUCUCUCAAACUCUUCUUGGCGUUUAACUUCCAUAAGAGAAUCUUUAAUUACUCUUUGAAUAAGCCAUUACAUUUCUUUUUUUACUCACAGCAUUUUUUAAAAUAGUGGUCUGUUCUGUUUCUCUGUAUAAUGGAAGUUAAUAAAAUAUGUGCCAGAAUCAAAAAAUAUGAUGAGCUACAAGGCAUACUCCAGACUAUAAGGAAAGAGAAGAAAGAGCUGGCCUUUAAUUCCACAGCCUAUCAGUAUUUCUCAUUGGAAUUGCUUUUGGUCCCUUUCCCCAAUAUGUCUGGCCUGAGUCUAAAUAAUUCUCCCCCUUUCUAACUUUGUAGCUCCCCAAUUUGUGCUCAUUUAAACCCCGUCCACUGUGCCAAAAAAACAGCUAUGGUUUAAGUCCAACGUCUGUUGAAUUACAACCACUGAAGAAGGAAUCUCAGAAAUAUGUUACACUAAAGUACCAGCAAUAAUUUACCAGCAGUUCUGGCUAACUGGGGAGGUCCUAGUUGCCUGGAGGUUAACGAAUGGGAACCCAGCCUAUAAAAAGGGUAAGAAGGAAGAUCCAGAGAAUUACAGGCCCAUCAGCCUGACCUCAGUACCAGGGUAAGUUAUAGAGCAAGUCUUCUUGAAUGCCUCAUUGUACAUGGCACUGGUAAUACUGCACCUUCAACUUCGUGUUCAGUUUUGGGCCCUGAAUGAGAAGGAUGAUGUUGAGUUGCCUGAGCACCUGCAGAGACAAGUAAUGAAGCUGGUGAAAGGACUACAAGACAAGAUAUAAUGAGGAGCAGAAUGGGUUCAUUUAGUCAGGAGAAGAGGAGGCUGAGGGGAGACUACAUCACUUUCUACUGCUUCCUGAAAGGAGCUUGCAGUGCAAAUGUGUUGGUCUCUUUCCUCAGAUGACAACACCUGUGUUAGAAAACUGGUAGUCUUGUACCUGUAAGACAGUGCACAAUAGCAGCUGAACUGUCUUCCUGUCUCCAUUUCAAAGAAGGAGCUUGGUAAUGGUGCUGGAGUCUGCUUUAUGAACACUGGCUGUUUAGUGUAAGAAAUAAAUUUGUCCUUCAUUCAAUGAACUAAACAUCUGAGAAACAAAUGAUGUUCCAGUUGUUUAACUUUUACUCACUUUUGCACAUCACUGCUUCUGCACAAGUGGUAUAACUGGAUACUGUGAUCAGUGCUGAGUGGUUUGUCUGAUCACUAUCUGCAGAUGGCUAACACACUCUCAGGAACACAAGAGUUGCUCACAGCAGCUAUCAUGGACACAAGUGUAUUUUGUGACAAGUGCUCUUCAUCUCCUUGCUAAACUCAGUUAAAUGUAAACCAAACAACUGGGCCAAUUUUGUUGCUUUUGGCAGGGCAGUGCUGUUAGCAAGUGACUUGCUAGGAGUGGCCACUGGGUCCUUGCUGAAAUGUGUACAUGGCACUAACAGUUCUUUGAAUAGAAAUGAAUUAGAUGUCUGUGCUUUCACCUAGCAGAUGGCAAAUGAGAAACUAUCUUCACUUUGCUCUUUUCUAUCAAUACCCAGCUGUCAGCUAUUGAUAAGCUGCUAUCAAAACCUGAUUCGGUUAAAAACUCAUUUGGAUGUAACUAUCUCAGUUCCAGCCACUGCUGUUUUAGACAGUUUACAAUCAGGAGACAGCCACUGACUUCAAAAGACAUCAUCAGCUCUCAGCUUGUAAAACGCAGAACUCUCAUCUUAGAAUUGUAGAAUCACUAACCAUCCCACAAGAGACCCACAGGGAUCAUCAACUCCAACUUCUGGCUCCACGCACAACCACCUAAAAAUCAAACCAUAUGUCUGAAAGCGUGUCUUGAACUCCAGGAGGUACUGUGCCCACUGCCCUCUGGUGCAGAGCCUUUCUCUACCUCUCACCUGACCCUCCCCUGAUGCAGCUCUGUGCCAUUCCUUCUGGCCCUGUUGUUGACUCCAGAGAGCGGAGCUCAGCACUGAACAACAAAAAACUCCACAUAGAAGGGAUCUCCAGAAAGAAAUACUUCCUUAGUGGUAGUCAGCCUUUAAAUGGGGGUCAUUAUUCCAUGGGUAUCAUUUCAGUCACACAGCUGAAUUGCCUUCACCUGUGCUUCAGGGCUGACCCAGUUCUUGCCUCAGGUGGUCAAUCAGUGGUUCAGGCCAUGAUUCAACAGUUCCCAUACAGCUUCUCAGUCAUAAAUAUAUGAAAUCAGUGUGCCUUAAAGAAGACUUAACAAUGUUGCUUUAGAUCCAGCUGCAGUUCAGCCUCUCUCUUUCUUCCUUUAAAUAUAUAUAUUUCUAUCUUAAUAGCACAUUUCAUAAACUGCCAUCUGGUCUUGUUGUGAACCACAAGCCUACUGUGUCUCUUCUGUAAAUACUGGCUUGGCUUUGUGCAAAUUAACAUGGAAAAUGAUCAGAAGGAAAGCUUGCAUUGAUUUCACUGGAAGAAGUUGAAAUUUCUUUUAGUCUGUUGUUGGUGUGAAAAUUUGUAUGCAAAUAUUUUGUCAAAAUAAAGUUUGGAAAGGAUAAGUGAAUUGAAAUGGCAAUUAAAUCAUGAUUAUUUUUCCAGCAGAAUUGAGAGUUUGAUUCCAGCUCCCAUGUUUUACAUCCCUUCUCGUCUUUUUUAAAGGAAGUAUCCAAAGAUCAUCAACAAAGGUUGGCCUUAAUCUGGGGAAAGGCUGUGCUCUUUUUGAAACUCAUAACCCACUUCUCCAUUUAAAGGAGGUUCAUUUUUGUUUGUUUUGGUUGAACAAAACAACAGAAAUUCACAAAUUUUUCUUUUAUUUAAUCUUUUUCUCCAGAGAAGUAAGAAGAAGAUUUGUGCAAAAUAACAAGAGCAAUAUCAAUGCUGUGCGGUGCUCCUUGGAAGUUGGACUGUGCUUGAAUACUCAGCAGUUCUGAAGGAAAUAAUUAUCAUUUUCUCUAUUAGAAGUAUUGAUAACACAGCACCCAUCAGACACACAGGCCAUGCUUAAAGACAUUCUGGGUGCUGGCUUUUAUCACCAUUCACAGAUAUGAGACUCUUUCAGUUACACUGAGGGCUGUUUUGUUGGCAGCACUUGUUUAUGGUUUUAUUUUUAUUUUUUAGUUUCUUUUACAUAAGAAAAUUUGAAUAAUAUGCAGCAAAUUGAAUGACAGAUACAAUUUUGAAGGCUACAAACCUAAAACCUUUAAGCAGUGAUUUAAAAGCUAAUUAUUAUGGAUAUAACCAUUCAACAUUCGUUUCUUAAUACUGUUCCCUCAAGAAAUAGUGAUUUAGUCAACCAAUUAUUUUAUCUCUUUUAGGGAUACUUCCUUAAUUGCAAAACAAUCUAAAAAUAUAAUCAGCAUGCUAAAUACAUGUGGUAUCUUGUUUAGAAUGCCACGUUGGAGGAAGAAUGCAAUUAAACUGUCAAAAUGUAAUUGUUUCUCAUAUUUAAUUUAAAGAGGCUGAUUCACAUUUGCUUUUCAUGUUUAGGAGUUAAAAAACAAAGCAAGUUACUAGUACAACUACUAGUUUUUAAUAAAGAAAACAUAAGCUUGGAGCACUGACGAAAGCUGCCUCUGUCAUGAGAUACUGCUAUCAAAAGAUAGGAAACCAUUCUUAUUUUUUUUCACUCUUCUCCUAAUCACAGUUCAGGAUUCAGUGCUGCAGCACGUAAGAUGAUCUUUGUAAUUUCAGGCACAGCUCAAACAUGAGAUGAUUUGUAACAAGCUCUCCAUCUACUCACUGCCUUCAGAGCCUAUGUUCAGAGAUGUCUUGCCUUGUGGCUGUCUUCCAAGCUACUGGAAGAAUAAGGGUGGAAGGGGACCCUGAACUGGCCUUUGAUCAGCUCAUCUCUCAUCCCUACUACUUCUGCUCUGGAGAAAGGGGCAGGUACAGACACAGACCUGCAGUAGUUUUACCUGUCUGUAUCUGUGUUGAAAACCACCUGCUCAGUGAAAACUGGUCCAGAUUUACCUUUAUCUAUUCCAAACUGAGUGACAAUGUAAGCAGAGGAGCAGUGCAGUUCUGGGAUUGUUAUUUCAUAGCGUAUAACCGGGGCUGCUAUUUCAUAGGAUGUAACCUUGAGUGCACUGGAUGGAAAUUAAGAUCCAUCUGACCAAGUGCAUGACCCUCAAAGGCAACUCUGAGCAUUCUCCUAAUUUUGUUGAUACAUACAAGUACUUUCAACACAAUGCCAGAAAAAGAGCUAGCUUUUGAUUCCAAGUCGGAAAAAAAGGAUUUUCUACUUUCAUCUUAUGUCAUUUUUCUUUUUUUAAAAAAUAGGGGAAAAAAAAAUGUAUUAAAAGUUAUGUAAUAACCAGCUAGGAUAAAUCUUUGAGAUUAAUUAAUUCAAGUUUAUUGGACCCAUGUAAACUUGCCAAGAACUUUUCAACCCUACUUGGCUCUUCAGCAAAGAUCAGCAGCCUAAUGGGUUCAGUAGCACUGGUAAUUAACCUACGAUCUUAGAUCGGGUAGGAGUCUUUUAGCAUGUACAGAACACUGUGAUGAACUCCAUUUUGUGAUAAUAAAUAAACACAGUAUCAUGUAUUAUUCCAGCCAACACACCCGGACACCUUACAGGCUUCUGUCCUCAGUGGGCUGAAUUUUCUGAAGAGUCAGUUUGCAAUUUGAAGCCUCUAUAGGUAGUGCUGCCUUUAAGUGGUACACAUGCUGGUGACCAGGCAUACAAAUACAAAGAUAAAAUAUACAAGCAGCCUGUACAGAUAAUUGCAGAAGUGAAUUAGGGGACUUUAUUGCCAUUAGAAUGUUGGGUAUAUUUUGUAUUUGUGUUUUCUUGUACGCUAUUUGUAUGCUAUAUUUUAUUACUGCUUUACAAAUGGAGCAGGUUUGCUUUUACUUUGUUUUGUCUCUUCUGUAACUAGGACAAUAAAUAGCACUGGUAGGUUGUUAUUCCAUCAAUGGCACAUUGGCUUAGCGGGUGGGCUUCCCACCUAUUUGUUCCCAGCAGUGUAUAUGUGCAGGUUUAUUCCAACUUACAAAUGCACUGGAAAGAGGGAUAAAUACAUGAUAUCACCACUUUUUUCAGUAUGUUUUUGACAAGUGAGUUAUGGCUGAAGAUGCCAUAUCUGUGCCUGCUACCUCCCAGUAGAAAAAGAGUCCCACAUCAGCAGCUAGGAGUGCGUAGGGGGCUGCAUUUUAAAAGCUCAGUCCUACAAAUCCUCAAGAUCCAACUCUUCCCUUGUGCUCCUGCAUCCAUCCUCAUGUGAAAAAAUGGAUGUGUGUGUGCCAGGCCAGGCCUUGAGUAGGCUCUGCAAAUUUUAUACUGGAUUUGUGUCCCGUAAGAACAUGCAUUAGGGUUGCCAGUUUGAAAUAUGACAAAACCCAGCCGCCUCAGACAAAUGGCUGCUACCCACGCUCAGCUUCGUCCGCACAUGUGCGGUGCUCAGGAUAACAACUGCCAAGUCUAUAGUAAAAGAGGCCAGGCAGGAAGCCAGCCACAUGGCAACUCUAAAUGAAAUUAAUAAGACUUUAUAAAAAGUUAAAAGCACAAUGUAGCUUUUCAAAGUGUUUCUUAGAGAUCUCUACAUAUGUAUAGGUGUUUCAUGUCUAUGAGAUAGAGGCUUGGGGUAAAUUUAAUGCAGUAUGCUUUUCUGGCUAAGAAUAUAUAUUCUUUUCUUUCUCCUGAAAGCUGUUGAUAUAAACUGGGACUCAUUAAAAACACCUUGUGUUUUGUUUUUAGAACUCUUGAUUUUAGGUCAUUUGCUGGAUCAUUAGAACGUGAUGUAGCAUCAGCAACUGUUCCAGAGGAGCCCUUUCUUGGAAGAAACAGAAUAUUUUUGUCUCAGUCAAUGGCAAUAAAAGGGUGCUUAGCACCUUUUAGGAGAUGCUGAGUGUCUCUCCCAGGCCCAAGUCCAGAGAUAGCAUUCCCGAAGGACAGAUACAAGGAUAUUAAAAAGGACUUUGAUCAAAGAAAUAUUGCUUCUUUCCUCCUUUCACUAAGCAGAUGUGCAACGUGUCUUGGGAAAGAAAUAGAAAAAUUCCUGAGUGAUUUAUUUGAUGAACCUAGUUUUAACCCAGGUUAUUGCAUGCCUGAUAUGGUGAUGCUGGUUAUUAGUUUUCAGUUGAAAAUGACCAGAUAGAGGACAUAUUCACUUCAUCAAUAUAAUACAUUUAUUGGUUGUCAAGAGAGUCACAUCACACAGAUAUGUAAAUCUGUCACUUUGUCUUAAAAGUGUAUUUCUCUAUUACAAUGUUGCUUGAUGUAUGUUUUAAGGCAGUAAGGCCUUUUAAAUAUUAAAAAAAAAAGACAAGGGGGAAGAUUUGUCUUUUCAAUCACAGGAUUUAAGACAUUAAAAGCAGAUGCAUCAUUUAUAAAAGUAGGAUUUUAUCAAAUGCCAUUGUAAAUGAAAGACUCAUAUCUACCAUAUGUAGAUAUGUGAAUUAAAGGAACCUUCUUUCCCAUGAAAAUUAACAAACUGUUUUGCCAGCCUUAAGAUGGAUUAGUCUUUGAAGCCAGUUGCCAGUUGACCACAAAUCUCAAUUUGCUAUGUCAAAACUAAAAUAGAAUAGACCCUUUGUUUACAUUAUAUAAAAAAUAAAUGUUUUUAUUUCUGUUUAUAUGACCACAGGAGUAAUCCUACCUUCAGAAAAAAAAAAAAAUGCACUUGAACAUUAGAACAAAGAAGUUUAGUUGUAGUUUAACUCAUUCUUUACCAUUAAAAGAAAGAUACGUCAAUAACAAUAAUUACUAAAAAUAAUAAGAUCUCUCUCCUCAAAAUGCGCAAAACUGGCUUUCUGAAAUAUGAUAGCAUGGUAAACUUCAAAACAAAAAAUAGCACCUUGCAUUGUGGGGUGUUGCGGUGCUUAACAUGCACUAAUGCUGUGAUGAUGACGUGUUGCUAGCAACGCUCCCUGCUCUUGACUGAAUAAGACCAGGUUGCCUGGUCUAAAAUACUGAAGAGUAUUUUUUUCUGUUGUCUUUAGUUUUGUAUAACAGGACAGAGCAAUAUGGCGCACCACUUCAGCUGGCAUGAAGUCUGCCAAUUGUUACAGGAAGAUCUAUAUCAGGCUCUUGAGGAAGUACCUUAAGACAAUGGUAGUGCUGUUGCUAGGAAUAACAUUCAAUGGAAACAAAUAUGAUUUUGAUAACGCAAUAAUAGGCAAGUUAUUGUGUAACCACCUUGGUACAAACCCAAAGGAACUGAUGGAUUAAAUAUGAGAAAUCUGUCAACAAGUUCAGCAUAUAUUCCAUAUGUAAAUCUUACACUGAGUUUAGUAGUUCUGUGUUAGCAGUGCCUCUCAAACUGGGUGCUGUAUCAUCUUGAUUAAAACUCGUGGUAAUUUACCAGUUGCUGAAGAGGGUGUUGCUAGUACAGAGGAGAAUAUGAUAAUUAAUUCGUAUGCAAUCAAUUUAAAAUAAAGUAAGGUAAGCAUAAGAGGGGGAAUUACAAAGCAUGUCUGAAAGGAAAUAAAAAGAAGGAUGUGGCAAACCACAUAAUUAGUGUAGAGAUUUUUAGGCUCAUUUGUUGAAAGGUGAUAGAAACAGGACUGGAAGGGGGAGAUCUGUCAGCCUAGUCUAAGGUGUUCUGACCUAAAAUUUUAAUGUAGUCUGUGACAGAGAUUUGAACCAGUUUAAAAAUGUGGAAUUCUAGCUUCCCCCAGUAAAAUGUGUUGAUAUCUGUUGAUAUUCAGAUCUUUGGUUCCAGUUCAUUUCCAGUGAGUACCAGGCUAAUGUAAAAAAAUACCGUUCAGUUCAUCAAGUCACACUGAAGAGUGUGUGUUGUAACAGACCACCACUUUGUAAACCAUGAUUCAUUGCCAUGGAAAAAGAAUUCUAAGACUGAAAAGAUCAAGCAAAGUUGAUCUCAGCUUGAGCAGUUUCACUAUUUCCAAGGUGCUUAGCUGGCUGCCAGGGCUCUCUAUCGCUUCAGUGAGCAGAACAUCAACUUUGGGAAGAAGAUGCAAUCAUAAAAUUGAUUUGCCGAUUUUGUAUGCUAGGAGAAGCUGCUGUACAGUGGAAGAUAACUGAUGACUAAUGCUUCUUAAGUUCUCCUCAGAAAACUGUAAGACUGUAUGAAAGCACAGUGUACCCUGAGAUAGGGCUUCCAGGUGGCACAAAUUUUGGAUGGUGAUGCGUUCAGAUGCACUGCAGUCAACAGUGAAUCUAGAUGUAAUGAUGCUGAGCAUGCCACAGGGCACUGGAGUUCUUCAUGGUGCCUAUGUUUCAUUCAUUGCUAAGAAUAUUAUUGAUUUCCUUUUAGGAUUUAAAAGACCCCACAUUGUUGAGAGUGUUUUUAUGUCAUGUCCGUUUUCCUGUUCUCCUGGCUUCAGUUGCAAGGAUAGAGUUUUCUGGGCUCAGGGCCCACUCAAAUGGUCAAAAGGAUUUAUUAAAGACCUUAAAAACUGAAGUGGAAGAAUGGAAGUGUUUGGGUGUUUUUUGAAAAAAUGUAAAGAGGUUUCUGGAUUGGAAUAAAAAUAGUUACUGAUACCCCAUUUAUUUCCCCACACAGCUGAACUGCUAUUUUCCAUUCAAAACCACAUAAGGUUCUAGAUGUUUUAGGUACAGCUUUAGGUAUGGGCAGGUUUACCCUGGUUCUUUCCACCCUGUAGAGAUUUCUGAAGAUUCCAAUGCUAUUUGGCUGCAGCAUCCUGGCUGCUGACAGAUUAUCUCUCCCCCUUUCCUCUUCUGGGAAUUGAUCUGGUUUGCACAGUAACCCUACUGCUGGCCCCAAACUGUGCCGUUCGCAGCAGGGCUGCCUGGAUGGAGUGGGAGAUAUGGCUCUUCUGGGACCAGGGAGCUCAUGGGUACUCAUGUGGCUCAUAGCAGGUUCUGUACCCCUGGCAGCUCUCCCUUUUCACCUUGUCUGCCCACAGCCCACCACCACUGGCGCAUUACCUCCUGCCUUAGUCCUUGGUCCCUUCCUUCCUCCUUCUGCCUCCCAGUGCCCCCAUUUUCCCCUGGCUCCCACACCUACGUAUGUACAUCUGCCUGCAGGUACUGCACAGAAUAGUAGUAGUAGCUAUUAUUACUCUCAGUUCUUUAUUAAUGCCACAUGUGCUGUUGUAAGGUUAAGUUAUUAAGUGAUAUCCAAUAAUUGUCUCUGCUCUAAAGUGGACGUUUCAUUUAACUAUACUCAUGCGGAUCUGUUUCAGUGCCAUUUAUCACAACCACAUUUUAAGAAACAUUUCAGUAGGUCAUUUCUCCUUUUCCUUUCUUUAACUCAAAUAGACCUAAAAGGUCCUGGUCAAAAAUUAAAUACAAUUACCUUUGGAACAGCAUAAGGGAGUGUGAGGUUUGUAUGUGCUUUGGAAGUUAAAUUUAUAUUUUACAGGGCUAUCAUCUUGGCUGCAGAGUUAAUUUUACUGUAUUUGUGCACUUGCUGGAAACGCUUACACGAAGGCAUACAAUGACCUGUUUAGUUUGCAGGAGAAAAUCAUGUCAUUUGCAAGCAAGCUUUCAGCUGUGAUAUUUUAUAAUUGUUUAGAUGAAAACCCGAUAAUCCUCUACUCCUUCACAUAAACUGCAAUCCAUCUUUAAAACUGUGAUAAUUCAUAAAACCUGCAGCUUAAUAAACUAACAAACCCCAGGCCUAUGUUAUUUUAAGGGAAGUCAAUCUUUGAUCAGUCAAGCUGAAAUGGGUCUGAUAAGUGGCGGCCUUCCUCACAGGGAGCAGCACUCCAGUUUGUUAUUGCUAUUUGCUCAUCAUCCUCGAGUGCAAAAUAAGCAGAAGUCUUUCCGAGCUCCUUAUCUCUUUUCACUUUCUUCUCUAGAUCUCUGUCGCUUUAAUCCAGCAUGUCUGCUGCUGGUUAACAAGGAAAUCCUGUGUCAAUUAUCGCCAACAACUUCCUGCUGUGAAGCUGUGGGGAAUCAAAGCUUUUGAGAGCCUUUUUCACACCAGAGAGUAGUGCAGGGCCUAAUUAAAUGGCCCUCAUAUCCUGCAGCCUACUGGUGGCCAAAUGAUAGAGAGCUAAUGAACGCUAACCUAAUUUUUUCAGGAAUUGUUUUGAUUCUUCCGGUCAGCGGUGCUUAUUGACCGAACCUGGGUCCGAGUGGGGUGGCAGAAGGUGAAAAGUGGCAAAGAUGGGGAUCUGUGGGGCUCUUUGUGUGCAGGCGUUCAGUUAUGUACUUGUAUACAUUGCAUA